rnacentral:lncRNA from 12 species
GUCGCUGCCGUUGCUGACUCUGCGGGCGGAGGGUCGCCUCGGCCCCUGUGGGCCCAGCCGUGGCCAGAGGGUCGCGAGCCCAGAGCGUGUCCCGAGAGGGUUGGCACGGACGCCCAGCGCCCACGCCCCUCCGUCGGCUCCAUCCCCGCUCGCGCCGAGGGCGCCCGUCCAGGGCUUCAGCCGGGAGCCUCCUGGGUCUGUUGCCUCCCGCUGAGACCCCCGACACCCUCCCCACCGGCACCCCCGCAGCCCCUCGCUCUCGCCCGGCUGCCUGGAAGCCUCGACGUCAGGCCGGGGCUCCUCACGCCUCGUCCCUGCCGCUGGUGCUCCCCGUGGAGCCGGGCUCACGCGUGCACCAGGAAGCCCCAGACGCCGGCUGGUGCCAGCACCCAUGGGACGGCGAGUCCCCAUCAAAAUCAGAGCAACAUCGGGAGCCUUGCAGCCCCCGGGAGCACCACGCCCCGCGGCCCCCGGAGCACCAGCCCUGCUCGGCCUCCCCACUCGCCGGGCGCCCGGCCAGCUGCUCCUCCCUCGGCCCCUGCCUGGGCCACAGCCUGGCCGCCCUCUCCUCCACGCGCUUUCCUGUCGGGGGACCUCCACGGGCGCCCCUCCUUUCUCCGGACUGCUUCCCUCGGGCGUCAGCGGCUUGGACGCGCCCCCUUCCUCGGGUCUGUCAGAGGGGACUUCUCCGAUGGUGUCGUGGUGAACGGCGUCCUCUCACCUGUCGCUUUGCCCUCCUGUCCUUCGCAGCAUGUGGCGCCCAGCGGGCGACCCGUGAUUGUUCGUUUUCGUUCGUCUCCUUCCAUUUAGGAUGGAAGCGUCCUAAGGAGCUGGACUGUGUCUUGGCCUACGAGCGAGCCUGGCAAACAGUAGGCACUGAAUCGUGCACGACUAAAUACCGGGCUGGCCUGAAUACCGACCGUGGGGCCCCGGGGCCCAGAAAGAGCACGACGGGGAGCACCGCCUCCCGCAGCUCCGCGCCCUCCUUACCGGAUUUACUGUCGUGCAGGAGGCAAGAGGUCACAGGACACCUGGGCAAGUAGCGGGUGCUCGUACCCCGGGACUCGGGGCUCUCAGGGGCAAAACCAAACAAGUGAAAAAAACAAAAAUCCCCCUCGAGGCCAGAAUUAUCAAGGCUCAAAGGGCUCAGAGAUGCAAAAGGGUGGGCGGGCAGGGAAAGGCCCUCGAAGACCUAGAGCCCACGCUGGCCCCGAGGACCAUGUCCCAGGGAGACGUGCCUCCCACCGAACUGUCUUAUUACGGCCGAUGGUCUGCUGGGUCCGGAAUUUGGGCAAGACGUGGCUGGGUGGCCCCCGACCCCACGCGGCGCCGGGUCCACGCAGGCCCCCGCCCCUGUUUGCAGCCUCCACAUGUGGCCUCUCUGGUGUCGCAGCCCCAGCA